rnacentral:rRNA from 1 species
GACGAACCGAGCGAACGUUAUUCGGAAUCACUGGGCUUAAAGGGUGCGUAGGCGGGCUGUCAAGUCUGGGGUGAAAUCCCACGGCUCAACCGUGGAACUGCCUUAGAUACUGAUGGCCUCGAGGAAGGUAGGGGCAUGCGGAACUGUAGGUGGAGCGGUGAAAUGCGUUGAUAUCUACAGGAACUCCGGUGGCGAAAGCGGCGUGCUGGACCUUUUCUGACGCUGAGGCGCGAAAGCUAGGGGAGCAAACGGG